rnacentral:misc_RNA from 1 species
UAUUGGCAAGUGGUGGAAACGAAAAUAACAUAUACAUAUGGGAAGCUUCAAAAAUGAGCUCAUCCAAUUUUUUACACCAAUUCAAGGAACACCGUGCAGCAGUCAAAGCGCUUGCUUGGUGCCCCUUUCAAUUUAAUGUACUCGCUUCAGGAGGAGGUACAAAAGAUGGUUGUAUAAAGAUAUGGAAUACGCAGAAGGGGACAUGUAUCAACAGCAUAGACACCAAUACGCAGAUUUGUGCACUAGAGUGGAACAGACAUCACAAGGAAAUAUUGAGUGGCCAUGGCUAUGGUGUGGGAGAGCUUCGAAAUCAUCUAUGCUUGUGGAAAUACCCUUUCCUCACUAAAAUGGGAGAGAUAAAAGGUCAUAGCUCCAGAGUACUUGGUCUUUCUCAGGUUUGACUGCUUAAAGGCCUUAAGUUAACUAGUGGAGUAUUUGUUCUUACACCUAAAAUUCAUGAAUCUUUUUUCCUUUCAUUGAUUUGUUGCAGAGUCCUGAUGGAUUAACUGUUGUAUCAGCCGGAGGAGAUGAGACGCUUCGCUUCUGGGAGAUAUUUGGACCACCUUGCAUUUCAAACUCUGGGUUCUCGGGUCUUGGGGGCCUUUUGUCUCUGAAGACAUCCCCAAUAAGAUGAAGGCAGGUGGAGCACUUUUUCGAUGCAAGCUUGUUUCCUCCUCUGCUUGUAAUUUAUCCUAUCGUUCUUGCACAUUUAUGAGAGCAGCGGAAUAGUUUUUCUCAUUUGUAUAACUAGAUUCAUGCUAUUACUGUAGAUGCAAAAGAUAAUAAUAG